AUUACAGGGGUGUGAAAGGAAGACCCGCCUCUUUAUCAUUGGUUGGGUGCGCUGCAGGGGAUGUGUGCCAUCGGUAAUGCCGAUUUCGUCAAUCGGUUCCUUGACCUUAACCCUUCGGUUCCUUCGGCGUAUACCCAAUACCAGUUUAGCAUAUCUCCUCAUCGAAUUUCCUUAAAAAUGCUAUAGUGCAUUUUCCUUAUCUGAAAGGAGGUGGAUGCACGCACAAGUUUCCUUUGGAAAAUGGGGUUUUACCACUCAUUAAAUACACGUAUUGUGGAUUAUGCUGUAAUGGAGCUGAUAGAAAAUGGUUUCAAAUGGAGUAACCAAACAUUCAGAUGGAGCAUACAGAAGAACUUUUGUAAUAUUUGCACUGCAAUCUCUUUAGAUUUGGUAGGGAUGGACGGUUCUGGUAAAAUUACACUUGCCAAACAAUUGAAUAUCAGUGGAAUCUCCUAUAUUUAUAGAUGCAGCUUUGGUUUUCUUGCGGGAGUUCUCUUUCUUACCAAGUAGCUCUUCUGUUGGCAUGCUUGGUUACAAUCCUAUAUGCCUCAAGGAUUUGAAGAUCUGGCUGAAGUUUCAAUGAGUUCUUCCUAUGGAUUACCUUUAUCUCUUAAGGUAUUAGGAGGGUAGACUUGGGUGACCUGGACAGGUUACUAGGAAUCUCAGCUAGAUAAGAUAUCUAGAAUAUUUGAGGUAUACAUUAAACAGAGGCCAAAAGUAAGCUGCAAUGCUAUGCACUGAGAAGAGUAGGAGAUUUUCUUAGACAUAGCUUGUUUUUUCAUUGAAAGGCAAAGAGUUUGGCAAUCUCUAUGGGGAAUGAUAUUAGCAUAAGAAUGCAUGAUCACCUCACCUUCUGUGAUCUGGGAAGAGAAAUUUCAAUUAUUAACUAUUAAAUUAUGGAUGAUCGGCAUUCGGGCACAAAUGGAGAUGUUUACCAAUGAGUGGAGACUGAUGAAGAGUAUUGCGAAUUUUGCAUUAAAGAUGAUUAAAAAGGUUUCAUUCAAUGUAGCCAAACAUCCUGUUGUCUCAAUGAAACUGUAAGAGACGUUGUAACUGCUACACUACAAACUCUGCAGAGUGGACAGAUUCUACAAAUUGUGGAAAUGGGACAUUGUGGUAAAAUGACAGUCGCUUAAAGCAUUAUGCGAUAGAAGAUGUUUCUCCAUCUACAGUUUCAGUCUUAAGUCUUAGUGCAUGGUGCUGCAUCCAAAAACACUUCAAAUAACUAGCAGAUAACUUGGAGUUGGAGGACCGUCAUGGCAUACUUUUUUCUAUUUAACAUUAUACAUUAAUGGAAGCCAUUUGAGAUCUAUUUGUCUGCUGAUAGUUCUGGAUGAUGUGGAUCACGAGACCCACUAGAUGCUCUGCUUCCAAAGACCAUCUCCCUUGGAAUGGAUGGUUUCAUUUUUGUCACAGCUCACGAAUUGGGUAUCUCCUUCAUUUAUAAAGUGCAGCUAUUCUUACAGCCCUAUUCACUCCAGGAAGCGGAGGAUCUCUUUGAAAUGAUUGAAAAAACAUGGUUUCGAGUGUAUUAAAUUCAAUAUAAUAGUAAAAGAGAGUUAUACUGGCCCACAAACUUUGCCUCUCUCAAUCUUUAUCAUUUGUUUUUACAAUCAUUAUGUUUAUGAUCUAUGACAGAGAAUAAGGAAUAGGUCUGUCGACUCAAAUAAAAGCUACUUUUACUAAUUGGUAGCUGUUCGUUUAUCUCA